rnacentral:tRNA from 1 species
AUUUAUAUAGUUUAAAUAAAACAUUACAUUUUCAAUGUAAAAAUAAUAAUAACUACAUUUAUAAGUA